AUAUUUAUUUGGGAGGGGAAUUGUGUGUGUAAUACAUUGCAUUUCAGGAUGGCAAAGUGGAUUUUACAAAAUAUUUCCUGUAAGAAGGAGUCACUGGGUCUGACAGGGUGAGGGCCAGUGUAAUUGGCUCUGCCCAGAGGACCUCACAUUUCAAAUCAAAUGAGAACAGUAAAGUGUUUUCUUUUUUUCCCUUCAAAAUAUAAUAUAAGCCAAGCAAUUUUAUGGGAACACUGAUGUGCUUCCUUUCAUUACAUUUGUGAAACAGAAGAACCCACACCAACCCCAGGAGAAGUGACACGUUCAUGACUCUGCUACUCAAAACCACCUUGCCUCCCGCCGCCAUCUGCCUGCUUGAAGCUGUGCGCAGGCUCACUCUGGCUCUUCCCUGAUUAACGUCUCACAGGGAUGAAGGUUCGAGUGCAAACCCCAGUUCUGCCCCAGACCCUCUGUGUGACUCUGGGCAGCAUGUUAGCUCUGUGAGGCUGCAGCACCCAUUCACAGAAUGAGGAUAAAGAGACUUACUUGGCAUAUCUGAACAGUCAAAAGGUAAGAGCUGCUGACACAUAACAAAUGCUGAUUCCAGGCCAAUCCUUCUGCUAGAUGCCUUCAGAGGAUAAUCUCCUUUCACCUCACAAGCUUGCCUUUUAGAUGGGGGCCAAUCUUAUCCCCAUUUUACAGAUGAGGCAAGUGGAGGAACAAGAGGGUGAGUAAAUUUGCCCUGGUCAUACAGUUGGUAAAUGGCAAAGCUGAGAGUUGAACUCAGGCAGUCUGACUGCUUCCCAUUAAAUAAUAAUUUGUAGGGAAGACAGUGCCCAGCACAGGGAAUAUAAUCAAAAAAAUGGCAGUCUUUGGCUGCGAUUAUUUGCCCAUUGGUUGUAUAGUUCCGAACAUGUACAUGUUCUGUUGUUCUUUUUCCCCCUAGUAAGAACUGGACACAUGCCUUUGAUUUAAUAUAUUCAACCAUUUCAUAUAUGUCACAGUGGGUUUUAAACAACUUGAUUUCUGAUACACAACUGCCUAAAUUUAGCAGGGUUUGUCAACUAGGUACUGGUAAAAGUGAUGUUAAUUUUACUUUACCUGUGAAUGAUAUAGGGAAGUCUCUGUU
ensembl:lncRNA